rnacentral:lncRNA from 1 species
UGCUCAUUUAGAAUUUCUGCAAUGGUUGCCAAACUGUUCUCCAGAGGGUUUGUUCCAAUUUACAUGCUCAGCAGAAAGAUCUGAGUGCUGCUUCAACAAAUCUUUGCCAACUCAGUGUACUGACAGACAUUUGAUCUUUGCCAAUCUGAUAGGUGAACAUGGUCAUAGCAGCCCCAUUCCAGAGAGAAUCCUGCUCCAUACACAGAAGGAAGGAAUGCAGGCUCAAAGGCCAAGAAGAAUCUAGACAGACAGGCCCUGCUGGGUUUCUCCAUUCCAUCUAUGAGCAUUAAAGCAUACCCUUAUUGUCCAACCGUAUUUCCACACAGCUGUCCAUAAAAACUUUGUUGAACCUAAGUAUAAAAAUGAAUGAUGUCCUUUGUAUCUUUGGGUCUUCAUUCUGAAGGCUGCUGUGUACACCUUAAAUAAAUGCGUAUGCCUUUUCUCCAAUUAA